CAUGUCUGUUUGGAGUUAUAAGGAGUCUAACCUGCCCACUGAUUAAGAAAUUAAAGGGCCGCAGUAUUAUAACUGUGCAAAGGUAGCAUAAUCAUUAGGUUCUUAAUUAGAAUCUUGAAUGAAUGGUUGGACAAAGGGAAUACUGUCUUUAUAUUAAUUUUGAAUUUAACUUUUGAGUGAAAAGGCUUAAAUAUUCUAAAGGGACGAUAAGACCCUAUAAAACUUUAUAUUAAGAUUGAAUUUUAGUUAAAUUUAAUUAUAAAAAUUUAAUUUAAUUAUUUGUUAUGUUGGGGAGAUAUAGGUAAAAUUUUUGUUAACUGCUUAUUGAUUAGACAUUUACGGAUGGGUAGUAAUAGAUCCUUGUUAAAGAUUAUUGAAUUAAGUUACUUUAGGGAUAACAGCGUUAUUUUUUUUGAGAGUUCAUAUCGAAAAAAAAGGUUGCGACCUCGAUGUUGAAUUAAAAUAUCUAUAUAAUGAAGCGGUUGUAUAGGAAGGUCUGUUCGACCUUUAAAAUUUUACAUGAUUUGAGUUCAAACCGGCGUGAGCCAGG
rnacentral:rRNA from 1 species